rnacentral:rRNA from 1 species
GCUCAGAAACUCAAUGAAUUGACGGGGCCGCACAAGCGGUGGAGUAUGUGGUUUAAUUCGAUGCAACGCGAAGAACCUUACCUGGUCUUGACAUCCCGGAGACCCUUAGGAAACUAGGGGGUGCUUCCAUCUGGAAGAAUCUGGAGACAGGUGCUGCAUGGCUGUCGUCAGCUCGUGUCGUGAGAUGUUGGGUUAAGUCCCGCAACGAGCGCAACCCUUGCCUUUAGUUGCCAGCAGUUCGGCUGGGCACUCUAAAGGGACUGCCGGUGUUAAACCGGAGGAAGGUGGGGAUGACGUCAAGUCCUCAUGGCCUUUAUGACCAGGGCUACACACGUACUACAAUGGCCGAUACAAAGGGCAGCGACACUGCGAGGUGAAGCCAAUCCCGUAAAAUCGGUCUCAGUCCGGAUUGGAGUCUGCAACUCGACUCCAUGAAGUUGGAAUCGCUAGUAAUCGUGGAUCAGCAUGCCACGGUGAAUACGUUCCCGGGCCUU